GAUGAACGCUGGCGGCGUGCCUAAUACAUGCGAGUCGAGCGAACAGACGAGGAGCUUGCUCCUCUGACGUUAGCGGCGGACGGGUGAGUAACACGUGGAUAACCUACCUAUAAGACUGGGAUAACUUCGGGAAACCGGAGCUAAUACCGGAUAAUAUAUUGAACCGCAUGGUUCAAUAGUGAAAGACGGUUUUGCUGUCACUUAUAGAUGGAUCCGCGCCGCAUUAGCUAGUUGGUAAGGUAACGGCUUACCAAGGCAACGAUGCGUAGCCGACCUGAGAGGGUGAUCGGCCACACUGGAACUGAGACACGAUCCAGACUCCUACGGGAGGCAGCAGUAGGGAAUCUUCCGCAAUGGGCGAAAGCCUGACGGAGCAACGCCGCGUGAGUGAUGAAGGUCUUCGGAUCGUAAAACUCUGUUAUUAGGGAAGAACAAAUGUGUAAGUAACUAUGCACGUCUUGACGGUACCUAAUCAGAAAGCCACGGCUAACUACGUG
rnacentral:rRNA from 1 species